rnacentral:rRNA from 1 species
AACUUAAAACUUAAAAGACUUGACGGUACUUCAUCCAGCCUAGAGGAGCCUGUCUAAUAACCGACAACCCACGAUUAACCCGACCCUUUCUUGCCAACAGUCUAUAUACCGCCGUCGUCAGCCUACCUUGUAAAAGCAAUAAAGUAGGCUCAAUAGCACCACACUAAAACGACAGGUCGAGGUGUAACCCAUGAAAAGGACUAAGAUGGACUACAUUCUCAAGCCGAGAACACGGAUAAUACUAUGAAAAUAGCAUUUGAAGGCGGAUUUAGUAGUAAGAUAAGAAUAAAAUACCUAACUGAACAUAACGCAAUGAAGUGCGUACACACCGCCCGUCAUCCCUGCCACCACAACAUAAACAUAAAUAAACACCAAACGGAAACUAAACAGGGCAAGUCG